GACGAACGCUGGCGGCGUGCUUAACACAUGCAAGUCGAACGGUAAGGCCCUGCUUUUGUGGUGUGCUCGAGUGGCGAACGGGUGAGUAACACGUGAGUAACCUGCCCUUUAGUUUGGGAUAACUUUUGGAAACUGUGGCUAAUACCGCAUAGGAGCUCCUGCUGCAUGGUGGGUGUUGGAAAGUUUCGGCGGUUGGGGAUGGACUGGCGGCUUCUUAGCUUGUUGGUGGGGUAGUGGUUUACAAAGGCUUUGACGGGUAGCCGUCCUGAGAGGGUGACCGGCCACAUAGGGACUGAGAUACGGCCAAGACUCCUACGGGAGGAAGCAGUGGGGAAUAUUGCAAAAUGGGCGGAAGCCUGAUGCAGCAACGCCGGGUGCGAGAUGACGGCCUUAGGGGUAGAAACCGCUUUCGCCUGUGACGAAGCGGGAGUGACGGUAAUGGGUAAAGAAGCAACGGCUAACUACGUG
rnacentral:rRNA from 1 species